ACACCGGUGGCCCAAUGGGUGUGCCCCAUGGUUGUGAGCGGCCCGCGACUACUCGCAAGAGGAAGUCCGGUGCCAGCUCCCAGGUGCGUGGGUUCGAGUCCCACACGGUGUA